CAUACAUGCCAUACGUCCCGAUCUCGGCGGGACAGUCCCGCUUUUGGGCCCUUUGUCCCGCCGUCCCGCCAUGAGACGAUUUGUCCCGACAUUCGUAAAAAACGAUGUAAGGUGUAUAGGUUCCCAAUAAAAUUCGCUAUUCAAGCUCUGUUUCCCUAACACUUAACACCGCUAAUCCCUUUAUUGCCCCCAAUUAACAAUCCGAUUCUACUUAUCGUGUGUACCAGUGUUGUUUAUGACACCUUAUCAGCGAUUUAUCGGCUAAUUAUUGAUUUCAUCAGGCAUUCACACCAUGGUGGUCUUCAAGAUAGUGGUCGCUUAUUGCUAUCGAUAGUUUUAUUAUAAUGAAAUAAAUGUUGAAAAUGUGUUUAUUUUGUAUUUGUUUGAAACGGUUUACAAAACAAUUGUUUUGUAAUAUUAACGCUACGUCAUAAAUGAGUCUUUUACAUUCAAUAUUUAGUUCCAAUAUAGCGGGAUAUUCCGAAUGUGCAAUAUACCAAAAUCGCAACAAACAGUCCAAUAAGUGAUACCCAUCCUGUCUAGUGUAAUUGUAAUAAAAACAACGAGGUGCUAUGCAUGACAGUUUGACCCUACUCCAAUUAAGCCGCGACAAUUGACAAGUAACAAACUGCGCAUGGACACAUGCUUAAAAAAACAUCGCAACAAACAGUAAAAGAGUUACCCAUCUUGUCUUGUGUUAUUGUAAUAAAAACAACGUGUUGUUAUUCAUGACAGUUUGACACUACCCCAAUACAGCGCCUGACAAUUCACAAUUCAGUUUAAUCUGUGUAUAUAGGAAGAAAACAAAAUACGGAAAUGUGUACGGCCGCGCAUUCCGUGUGUAACUGAUGUAACUGUUCGGUAGAUAGUGUACUGUAACCCGUACUUUCAGUCAACUGGAUAGCCUCCCCUGCGUUAAUGUUUGCCAUUGAAAUUAAUAUAAUGAGUAUUGUUGUCGUAAUGUUGUAGAUUUUGUACUCUUAAACAGAUGAAUAUUAUCUUCGUUGUUUGCUAUUGUCUUAUUUAAUAAAACUGUUAUUGUUAUGUUUUAGAUUUCAUGCUUCAUAUCAGAUGUUUUAUGUCUUGAAUAAAAGUAUCAAGAGUU